GUGCAGCCAUUGCACAAAACAAGUACAUUCAACAUAUCCCCAGAUAGCUCAGAUCUGAGCGCACAUUCUUACUGAAUGGCGCUCAGAGAACACACAUACAGUUUGUGGCAAACCCUGCCACUUGGACUAAUUAUUCUGUGCGAAUGGAUGGUAAACCAAGUGAAUAACUGCACGAACAGACUUUAAUGUUAUUUUGCUGUCUUUUAUGUGAAUGCCCGAAACUAC